GGUGUAGCUUGGUUGUAGAGUGAUUGCUUAACAUGCACAAGGCUCUGGGUUCAAUUCCCAGCACC
rnacentral:tRNA from 1 species